rnacentral:rRNA from 1 species
CCCUUAGACGUUCUGGGCCGCACGCGCGCUACACUGACCAGUGCAACAAGCAUCCGUCCUUGGCCGACAGGCUCGGGCAAUCUUUGAACGCUGGUCGUGAUGGGGAUAGACUUUUGCAAUUUUUGGUCUUCAACGAGGAAUUCCUAGUAAACGCAAGUCAUCAACUUGCAUUGAUUACGUCCCUGCCCUUUGUACACACCGCCCGUCGCACCUACCGAUUGAAUGGUCCGGUGAAGCCUCCGGAUUGGCGCGCACCUCGGUGCCGCCGAGAAGUUGGCUAAACCUUACCAUUUAGAGGAAGGUGAAGUCGNAACA